rnacentral:rRNA from 1 species
CCUACGGGUGGCAGCAGUGAGGAAUAUUGGUCAAUGGACGAGAGUCUGAACCAGCCAAGUAGCGUGAAGGAUGACUGCCCUAUGGGUUGUAAACUUCUUUUAUAAAGGAAUAAAACGAGGCACGUGUGCCUUUUUGCAUGUACUUUAUGAAUAAGGAUCGGCUAACUCCGUGCCAGCAGCCUCGGUAAUACGGAGGAUCCGAGCGUUAUCCGGAUUUAUUGGGUUUAAAGGGAGCGUAGAUGGGUUGUUAAGUCAGUUGUGAAAGUUUGCGGCUCAACCGUAAAAUUGCAAUUGAUACUGGCAGUCGUGAGUACAGUUGAGGUAGGCGGAAUUCGUGGUGUAGCGGUGAAAUGCUUAGAUAUCACGAAGAACCCCGAUUGCGAAGGCAGCUUACUAAACUGUGACUGACAUUGAUGCUCGAAAGUGUGGGUAUCAAACAGGAUUAGAUACCCCAGUAGUC